AAGCCCUUAUAGCUCAGUGGUAGAGCGCCAGUCUUGUAAACUGGAGGUCCGUAGUUCGAUCCUGCGUGAGGGCAAAUUAUUUCCGCCCUUUGUUAUUUUUUUGUUUCCACACUUUCUUUCGUAGUUCACUCCCAAGUCCCAAUUUAAUAAACCCUUGCUACAAAACUUUGCCCUAAUUUCCUCUCUUCUAAAUCUGUUCUCCCAAAAAUUUAAAAAAAAUCAAAGAACCCAAAUCAAAGUUCAUACUUCAGCAUGCUCAAAUUCCCAGAAUUUUUCAUCCUAAAUCCCUAAAAAACUCAAUCUUUUUAAGCAUUUUCCACAUUACCUUCCUCCUACCCAGAAAAACAUGGCUCGGCUGUUGCGAGAACUGAUUCGCAGACCAUCUUCCACCAGAUUCAUUGCAACAUUGACCCAUCAAAACCCCACAAAUCUCUCUCCUCCAUUGUUGUUUAAUCAAUCAUUUCUUCUUGGUCAAACUUUUGAUCAUGGAGAUGUGUUAAACCCUAGCAAUCAGGGUUUAAUGGAAUUUACCCAUUUCAGCAAAUCGCAGAUUUACCCAAGUUUUUCAUUUGGGUAUUUUUUGGACCCGGUUUCGCCUACUGGGUUGGGGUCUGGACCCGAAAAUGAGGACCCGGGAAUGAUGUGGGCUGAUAGUGUGAAGAAGAAGAGGAAGAAGAAGAUGAACAAGCAUAAGUAUAAGAAGCUCAGGAAACGUCUUCGUCGAAAGACUAAGACUUGAUCAGGUUUCCAUGUAUAUUAAUGUUGAACUGCGACCUACAUAUGGUGUUUCCAGUAGGGUUACUUUGCCGAGCUUCACUUCAUUUUUGGCGGUAUUUUGGAAUUCUUGGCUGCAGCAUGCCAGACACAUGCAUUUUUGGCCGAGCUUCUCUUAUGUUUCUGCACCUCCUUGUGGACAUGGAUUCACACUUAACAUUUCAAGCCUGUAACCCAUUGUUAGCUUGAAAAUUAUAGAGUGGUUAUUCUGUUUUCUUAUUAUUUCAGGUGAAGACUUCAAUAGGAAAUAAACUAGGGUAUACACAUCUCAUCUUCAAAUUUUUGGUGAAACAUGCUGAUUUUUGAGGGAUUUCAAUUUCUGAGUUGUUUUUCAA